CCAAACGCUUUGAUUCGGGAGUAUUAAGGAUGAGUUAUUGUUAAGAGAGCUGUCGGAAGGUGCAAGACAGUGGGUAGCGUCCCCAACUCGCCUAUGAGUGGAUAGAUUGAGAUGUAGAUCUAUACGGUUAACUUCCGUAAAAGAGUUCUGAGAUGUUUCAUUUUCAAAAGAAUUGAAACAAGAAGAGUGGUACCACGAUAAAAUCCUAUCGUCUCUUUA
rnacentral:ncRNA from 1 species